rnacentral:rRNA from 1 species
GAUGAACGCUGGCGGCGUGCCUAAUACAUGCAAGUCGAGCGAACAGACGAGGAGCUUGCUCCUCUGACGUUAGCGGCGGACGGGUGAGUAACACGUGGAUAACCUACCUAUAAGACUGGGAUAACUUCGGGAAACCGGAGCUAAUACCGGAUAAUAUAUUGAACCGCAUGGUUCAAUAGUGAAAGACGGUUUUGCUGUCACUUAUAGAUGGAUCCGCGCCGCAUUAGCUAGUUGGUAAGGUAACAGCUUACCAAGGCAACGAUGCGUAGCCGACCUGAGAGGGUGAUCGGCCACACUGGAACUGAGACACGGUCCAGACUCCUACGGGAGGCAGCAGUAGGGAAUCUUCCGCAAUGGGCGAAAGCCUGACGGAGCAACGCCGCGUGAGUGAUGAAGGUCUUCGGAUCGUAAAACUCUGUUAUUAGGGAAGAACAAAUGUGUAAGUAACUAUGCACGUCUGGACGGUACCUAAUCAGAAAGCCACGGCUAACUACGU